ACUUUUAUAGUUUAAGUAAAACAUUAUUUUUUCAUAAUAAAGUUAGUAUAAAUCACUUUUAAGUU
rnacentral:tRNA from 1 species